UGUGAGCCAGGUCCUGUUCCGGUUUUUUCCGUGGUGAUAACGCAUCCAAAAGUCUCUAUCACCGGGAGAAAAACUGGAGUAGGACCUGUGACUCAU
rnacentral:pre_miRNA from 15 species